AAAAAAAAAAAACAAAAGGCCUUCUUCUCCAGACAUCUCCCCUCCCACCCAACUCACAGGCCACAACACCACCAUCUUCCCCAGAUCCGUCGGCCACAACGUCUUUGAACUUUUAGUUUGCACCAAUAAAAUUUACGCACAAUCUCCUAUUUUGACGGCGGUGGCGGCGAUAAGGCGAGCAAGAGAAGAAAAAAGAAAAAAAAAAUGCAAUUUUUGGAUCUAGCAGGUUCGGCCGUCAAACUCGUCGCCGUCGAGAAAAAUCGUUUGGAGAUAUUGUAGAUAAGGUAUUACUGUAAUUGGCGCUGAGUUUGCCUCGGAUUGUGCGGAUUCGGGUCUGGUAUGUGGAUUGUAGAAGAUGAGAUGGUGGUGUUGAACUCUUAUUGGGGUUGGGGUUGGGGUUUGGAUUGUAGACAAUGAUUUUUUUCUUUUUAUUUUUUAUUUUAUUUUUAAUGAAAUAUAAUAUUUUUUACAUUAUUACUUUGAAUUCUGAAAAUUACAAUUUGG
rnacentral:lncRNA from 1 species